CCGUUGGGGCAGCGUGCGAGUCGUCAGCGAUGUUAGCAGACCAGGCUCAUGCAUGUCAUCCCCCUUUUGGUCUGGAACCUCUUCUUUAGAAAUUCACACCCAUUCGGACCACACACAGAAACAUAAGAAGCAGGGCAGCGAUUUGGCAGACAGCUCUACUAGACCAUGCUGGGUAUUCCGGUGGAGGGCGGGAAGGCAUUUCCUUUUUUUUUUUUUUUUUUUUUUA